UAGAGAGACUAAUCUGUAGCCCAAACACUGUCUUUAAUUUGAUUUCUGAGCCAUACACAUUAGAAUAAGACAAUUCUACUUUUUGACAUUUAAAUGAUUAAUAUCUUUCUUUUACAAAUCUCUUCUGAUAAAAAAAAGUUACAAUAGAAGCAAUAGAAACAAUAGUAAACCCGUAUUGCCGCGUUUUGAAAGAUAUAUCAGUCUGAAGUAUAUCACUCUAGGUUGUGGGGUACAGGUCAGUCUACUGUCUAGGUUUUGGGUUCCAGGUCAGUCUACUGUCUAGGUUUUGGGGUACAGGCCAGUCUACUGUCUAGGUUUUGGGGUACAGGUCAGUCUACUGUCUAGGUUUUGGGGUACAGGUCAGUCUACUGUCUAGGUUUUGGGGUACAGGUCAGUCUACUGUCUAGGUUGUGGGGUACAGGUCAGUCUACUGUCUAGGUUGUGGGGUACAGGUCAGUCUACUGUCUAGGUUGUGGGGUACAGGUCAGUCUACUGUCUAGGUUGUGGGGUACAGGCCAGUUUUCAGUCUAGGUUUUGGGGUACAGGCCAGUCUACUGUCUAGGUUUUGGGGUACAGGCCAGUCUUCAGUCUAGGUUGUGGGGUACAGGCCAGUCUACUGUCUAGGUUUUGGUGUACAGGUCAGUCUACUGUCUAGGUUUAGGGGUACAGGUCA